GUUCUUACUAUGGCAGCACAUAUACUAAAAUUGGAAAGACAGAAAGAUUAACAUAGCCCCUGCACAAGGAUGACAUGCCCAUUUGUGAAGCAUUCCAUAUUUUU